AUUGAACGCUGGCGGCAGGCCUAACACAUGCAAGUCGAGCGGAUGAAGGGAGCUUGCUCCUGGAUUCAGCGGCGGACGGGUGAGUAAUGCCUAGGAAUCUGCCUGGUAGUGGGGGAUAACGUCCGGAAACGGGCGCUAAUACCGCAUACGUCCUGAGGGAGAAAGUGGGGGAUCUUCGGACCUCACGCUAUCAGAUGAGCCUAGGUCGGAUUAGCUAGUUGGUGGGGUAAAGGCCUACCAAGGCGACGAUCCGUAACUGGUCUGAGAGGAUGAUCAGGCACACUGGAACUGAGACACGGUCCAGACUCCUACGGGAGGCAGCAGUGGGGAAUAUUGGACGAUGGGCGAAAGCCUGAUCCAGCCGUGCCGCGUGUGUGAAGAAGGUCUUCGGAUUGUAAAGCACUUUAAGUUGGGAGGAAGGGCAGUAAGUUAAUACCUUGCUGUUUUGACGUUACCAACAGAAUAAGCACCGGCUAACUUCGUG
rnacentral:rRNA from 1 species